GUUGUGGCUCAAUGGUAAAGCACCUGCCUCGCAAGUGCGAGACCCUGGGUUUGAUUCUCAGCACCACA
rnacentral:tRNA from 1 species